UACGUAGACCUCGAGCGUUAUCCGGAUUUAUUGGGCGUAAAGAGCAUGUAGGAGGUUUUGCGCGUCUUUGGUUAAAUCCCACCGCCUAACGGUGGAACUGCCCGAGAUACGGCAAGACUAGAGGAGGUUAGAGGUGCAUGGAACGCACGGUGUAGGGGUGAAAUCCGUUGAUAUCGUGCGGAACACCAAAGGCGAAGGCAGUGCACUGGGACCUUCCUGACUCUGAGAUGCGAAAGCGUGGGGAGCAAAAAGG
rnacentral:rRNA from 1 species